rnacentral:rRNA from 1 species
UACGAAGGGUGCAAGCGUUACUCGGAAUUACUGGGCGUAAAGCGCACGCAGGCGGUCUGUUAAGUCAGAUGUGAAAUCCCCGGGCUUAACCCGGGAACUGCAUUUGAAACUGGCAGGCUAGAGUCUUGUAGAGGGGGGUAGAAUUCCAGGUGUAGCGGUGAAAUGCGUAGAGAUCUGGAGGAAUACCGGUGGCGAAGGCGGCCCCCUGGACAAAGACUGACGCUCAGGUGCGAAAGCGUGGGGAACAAACAGG